AGCGUAGGCGGCGUGGUAAGUCAGAUGUGAAAUCCCGGGGCUCAACCCCGGAACUGCAUCCGAUACUGCCGUGCUAGAGGAUUGGAGAGGUAGCUGGAAUUCUUGGUGUAGCAGUGAAAUGCGUGGAUAUCAAGAGGAACACUCGUGGCAAAGCGAGCUACUGGACAACUCCUGACGCUGAGGCUCGAAGGCCAGGGUAGCGAAAG
rnacentral:rRNA from 1 species